AGAGUUUGAUCAUGGCUCAGAUUGAACGCUGGCGGCAGGCCUAACACAUGCAAGUCGAACGGUAACAGGAAGCAGCUUGCUGCUUUGCUGACGAGUGGCGGACGGGUGAGUAAUGUCUGGGAAACUGCCUGAUGGAGGGGGAUAACUACUGGAAACGGUGGCUAAUACCGCAUAACGUCGCAAGACCAAAGAGGGGGACCUUCGGGCCUCUUGCCAUCAGAUGUGCCCAGAUGGGAUUAGCUUGUUGGUGGGGUAACGGCUCACCAAGGCGACGAUCCCUAGCUGGUCUGAGAGGAUGACCAGCCACACUGGAACUGAGACACGGUCCAGACUCCUACGGGAGGCAGCAGUGGGGAAUAUUGCACAAUGGGCGCAAGCCUGAUGCAGCCAUGCCGCGUGUAUGAAGAAGGCCUUCGGGUUGUAAAGUACUUUCAGCGGGGAGGAAAGUGUUGUGGUUAAUAACCGCAGCAAUUGACGUUACCCGCAGAAGAAGCACCGGCUAACUCCGUGCCAGCAGCCGCGGUAAUACGGAGGGUGCAAGCGUUAAUCGGAAUUACUGGGCGUAAAGCGCACGCAGGCGGUCUGUCAAGUCGGAUGUGAAAUCCCCGGGCUCAACCUGGGAACUGCAUUCGAAACUGGCAGGCUUGAGUCUUGUAGAGGGGGGUAGAAUUCCAGGUGUAGCGGUGAAAUGCGUAGAGAUCUGGAGGAAUACCGGUGGCGAAGGCGGCCCCCUGGACAAAGACUGACGCUCAGGUGCGAAAGCGUGGGGAGCAAACAGGAUUAGAUACCCUGGUAGUCCACGCCGUAAACGAUGUCUACUUGGAGGUUGUGCCCUUGAGGCGUGGCUUCCGGAGCUAACGCGUUAAGUAGACCGCCUGGGGAGUACGGCCGCAAGGUUAAAACUCAAAUGAAUUGACGGGGGCCCGCACAAGCGGUGGAGCAUGUGGUUUAAUUCGAUGCAACGCGAAGAACCUUACCUGGUCUUGACAUCCACAGAACUUUCCAGAGAUGGACUGGUGCCUUCGGGAACUGUGAGACAGGUGCUGCAUGGCUGUCGUCAGCUCGUGUUGUGAAAUGUUGGGUUAAGUCCCGCAACGAGCGCAACCCUUAUCCUUUGUUGCCAGCGGUCCGGCCGGGAACUCAAAGGAGACUGCCAGUGAUAAACUGGAGGAAGGUGGGGAUGACGUCAAGUCAUCAUGGCCCUUACGACCAGGGCUACACACGUGCUACAAUGGCGCAUACAAAGAGAAGCGACCUCGCGAGAGCAAGCGGACCUCAUAAAGUGCGUCGUAGUCCGGAUUGGAGUCUGCAACUCGACUCCAUGAAGUCGGAAUCGCUAGUAAUCGUGGAUCAGAAUGCCACGGUGAAUACGUUCCCGGGCCUUGUACACACCGCCCGUCACACCAUGGGAGUGGGUUGCAAAAGAAGUAGGUAGCUUAACCUUCGGGAGGGCGCUUACCACUUUGUGAUUCAUGACUGGGGUGAAGUCGUAACAAGGUAACCGUAGGGGAACCUGCGGUUGGAUCACCU
rnacentral:rRNA from 1 species